UUUGAUGCAGCCACAUGUAGGAUGGCGGGUGUAUCAACCAUGUGGAAGAUUGAAUUGAGGCCAACAGCGCGAGGAUUCGUUGUGACCACAGGAGGUGUUGCUGGAUUGAAUCGGUUCAAGAUCACCAAGUAUGAAGGUGGUAAUAAUUUGUAUCAGCUUUCUUACUGUCCAAUUUCCGAACCCAUAUGUGAAUGCUCAUGCGUCCCACUAGGCCAAGUUGUCAAUCGCUUGGCUCCCAGAACCAUCCCUUUUCCUGUUGUGUUUGUACCAUCCGAUAGAGCUUCUAAAAUCGAGUAUAAAAUGAUGUAAGAAUGAUAUAGAUCAGUACUGCAAUCCUGAAUGAGCUAGGGAGCUCGAUUGCCUGCUAUGAUCAUGUGUUGGGCAUCAAAUAAUUCUUGAAUAAAUACGAAGCUCUUUGGCUUUGGCUUUUGCUUGAUUUUCACGUUCUCUCCGUAUGUAUACUACGUUUGUUGCUUGAUGAUUACCUUGACUCUCACAGCAUUAAAGCAUGAUAAUUCCUUACCUUCAUCUUUUCAAGAAUUACAUUACACAUCAUCAUCAAAUUUAAAUUUCGAUGAAAAACUAAAAUAAGUAUUGACUUUUCUUUUAGCUUUUUCACUUUUUUUUUCCUUUUCCUUUUCCCUAUUCUUUUCCCCUCUUUCUCCUUUCCCUUUGCUCUCUUCUUUAUCCCUGAACAUUUACUCUCUUUACUUUCCUGUUCAUAACAAUUACCCCUUCUCUCUUUUUAAAAUUAGAUCUCUUGAUUAUGUAAAACAUUUUAUGUCUCAUAGUCGGGACAUUGCUGGGACUGAGGAUUCCCUUUCAACAUCCUGUGAUGAGAAGAAAAGGCCGGGAUUGUUGUGCCAAAAAGACGAAAUAAACAGGACCAAAUUAAGGAAAUUUAGGAAGCGUGGCUACUAGAUCUAUGGUUGGUCGCAUGAGUAUAGAUCUAUGGUUGAUCGCAUGCCAUAGUUAUGGUUAGAACCUGUACGAAAUUCUUUAAGGUCAGCAUGCCUAAACUGAGCUCCCUGAUAGCCUUCAAUGCACUCUGUUUUUACCAUUUUCCUUUUACGAGUUCACUUGGUGUUCUUAUCUCUUUCAUAAAAUAGCAUCUUGUCUACAAUCCUCAGUUUCUAACUUCACUAUAUCGAAAGGAUCACGCCAAAGGAUCUGUUGUCCUUUACACAACGUGAGCAGCAUGCGGUUUAAUCCUCAGAAUACUGCUUCUUUAUAGCAUGCGUUUCCCCAAGUUGAUGCGACAAGUUGCAUUAGCUAGAUCUGUAAUGGGAACAUCAGAACCUGGACUAUCAGUUUGUUGUUGAUUUUGUGACAGAGGUGACUAAUGAAGUUUCUUGAGGAUUUAGAGUGGGAAAGAGCUCGGAAGGCUUUCUCAUUGCCCUUUGUAUUUGGGUCCGAAUAUAAGGCAAACUGGGUUCGGUCCUUGGAUUGCUGGUCGUAUCAUCCAGAGUUUAUAAGAAGCUUAGCUGAGAGCAUGUGGGUGGGUGGAGCCUGGAGGUCUCUUCUGUUGAGCCACGUCGUUUUAGGUUCAGAAAGAGGCUGGGGCUACUAAAGAAAAACUCUAGGAUUGGAUUCGUACUUUUGGAUAAGAACCUGACAGAGGCAAAAUUGCUCCUUAGUGAUAUGGACCACGUGGCUGAAACUAGAGCAGUUUCGGACAUGGCUUUUAAACUAGAGCACGUCUCAUGUCAAAGUCAGAUGAAUUUUCCCAGGUCGAAAGGCUAACCAAGUUGCGAUCAAUCCAUAUCUUUUAGUCGGUCAUAUUAGAUUAAUUUUUUAUUUAUUGAAACUUGGUCUAGUCACCGAAAUCACUUAUCAGCAUGUUUGGUCAAGUUUGGUUUUAAAUCAAUGCUUUCAGAAUUAUAAUUUUCAUGUAAUGAUACAAGCAAAUUUCAAGUUCAAGGAAACUUUUAUUCUUAGAGGGUUUGUUUCAGAAUACGAUACCAUACGGAAAUGAUGAUAAAGAUGUAAAAUUAAGAAUCAAGAGAGCUAAUCAUCUAAGUGGUGAUGCAGUGGUAAAAGCUUGAGAUAAAAAGAUUUGCUCCCUUUGUGGUCUCAGGUUCGAGUCCUGUGGUUGCUCAUAUAAUGAUCACUGGAGACUUACAUGAUCGUUACUUCAGGACCCGUGGGAUUAGUCGAGGUACACACAAGCUAGUCCGGAUAUUCACAUUAAACUAAAAAAAAAAAAAGAAAUGAAGGGAGCUAGAGUAUCGAACCAAUCUCUUAUACCAUGUUAAAUGAGGAUAAAGACUUUAGCUCUAAAAAAGAUUUAAAAUUAUGGAUGAAGACAAGACUACAUUUUUCUUGGAUACUACAUCUUGUCUCGGUUACAUGAACGAGACUUUUUUUUUUUCUUAUAUUCUUGAAUUACAUUUGCUGAAUGAAGAGCUACCUAUUAAUUUAUACAAGGGAGUAGCCUACCAUUUAUGUUAGGUAGCCUGCAACUUUAGACUUCCUAUGCAACCUAUUUUGAAUAGCCACCCCUGCGUUUAAUUUAUAUUAUAACUUAUUAAGCACGAGCAGAACACUUCUGUGGAAUGAAUCGAGCAAGUGGUCCGAGAGGCCAGAGCUCCAAACCUCCAAGACAACUCUUUGCCGUAGGCUGUCAUUUGUCGUCUUGUAAUUAACAGCUCUUCCGACACAUCAGCUAGAAGACAAGAUAAUAUUGGGAUAACUACUAUACUGAUCUCAGCAAUGAAAUCGAUAAACAAUUUAGUGCAAGAAAACAGGGAUAGAGUUGAGACUCAUUCUGUUUUAUCCCAAAGCCAUAUGCUUUUUUAGCUUACAAAUCUAAUACGGAAAUAUUAUCCAAUAGCAGAGAGUGUUUUUACAUUUAUUUAUCAAUUAAAUUAAAUUAAAUUACAUCAUUAAAAGUGCAAGAUUAAAAUGAAAACAAAAAUCAUUAUUUGUGAAUAAUCAAAACCUUAUUUUAAUUGAAAUAAAAUGAUUAUUUAUGUGAUACACACUAGCUACUAGAAAACUGGAAAGUAGUGAUAAGAUUUUUUAUGGAAAAAUUUAUAAAUUCCAUCACUAAUUAAUCAUCUCUGCGUUUAAUUGAUCGGAUCUUAAUUAUAACCCAAUAAGCACGAGCAGAACACUUUUGUGAAAUGAAUCAAAGAAAGCAAGUGGGGCAAGUUGGCUAAUCGAGUUCUGCGCGCAAGAGGCUGCUUCGAACCUAGACGACAACUUAAUCAAUACGAGUGAAACACUAUAGUUUAUAUUUUUGUGGAACUAGAGGCACAUGUUUUUAAUUAAUUGUAAAAAAUAAUCGAAAUGCCUUCUCCCCUAUAAAUCCAUGCUCUCUGUGCAUUCUUCCACCACAACAAUAACGAGAAACAAUACUGAGAUAAUUAACUAACACUCAUCAUAUUUUCAACAAUGAAGAUCACCAAGUUUGUAGUGCUCUCCUUUCUUCUCUUUGCCUUCACAGCAACUUCAAUAUUUCCUCAUGCUGUUCAUGCAGAAGAUCCUGAAGCAGUGAUCGAUGUCAACGGUAAUGAGGUGACAGCUGAUGCUCGUUAUUUCAUCGGAGCCGCUUCGGAUGAUAAUACAACAACUCUUGCGGUCUCUGCGACUAGCCAGAUCAUAUGCAAUUCAGAUGUUAUACUUUCCUCAAUGAGCAAUGGGCUCCCAGUAACAUUUUCAUCACCAGUUGGAGAAUCCAACGACGGUGUCAUCCGCGAAGACAGUUAUCUGAAUGUGAACUUUGAUGCAGCCACAUGUAGGAUGGCGGGCGUAUCAACCAUGUGGAAGAUGGAGUUGAGGCCAACAAUGCGAGGAUUCGUUGUGACCACAGGAGGUGUUAAUGGAUUGAAUCGGUUCAAGAUCACCAAGUAUGAAGGUGGUAAUAAUUCGUAUCAGCUUUCUUACUGUCCAAUUUCCGACCCCAUGUGCGAAUGCUCAUGCGCAUGCGUCCCACUUGGCAACGUUGUCGAUCGCUUGGCUCCCAGCACCAUCCCUUUUCCUGUUGUGUUUGAACCAGUUGCAGAUAAAAGCUCCUGAAAUCGAGUAUAAAAUGAUGCAAGAAUGAUAUCGAUCACUACUGCCAUCCUGAAUGAGGAAGCUCACUGUCAUGGGUUGGGCAUAAAUAAAUUUUAAAUAAAUACGAAGCUUUUUAGCUUUAGCUUUCCCUUAAUGUACUUGUUGUCUCCAUUAAUAUAAUACGUUUUUUUCUUUAUCUUGUCACUUGAAAAUCAUCUGAUUACUACGAUCAUAGUUUGAUAUCAUCUAAAUGUUCGGAACCAAAUGUUAAUUAUGCUGUUUUUAUUUUUAUUUUAUUUUUUUUGCAUAUUUUUAAUGGUUUUUAGGUAUAAUUAAGUAUAAAACUAUAUUUUGACAAAUACCUUCUUUAACUGAUCAAACAAUUGUAAAACCAAAAAGUUUCAAUCUUUUGACAAAUACCGGCCCUUUUUUUUUUUUUUUUGGGGGAGGUGUCAACGCCUUUUAUAAAACUUUAGGCAUAAGUUUUUGGCAAAUUUCUUUUUUGGUCCAUAUAGUUUUACAAUUAUAUGGAUUAGUCUAAAAUGUUAUUUUAUUCUCAUUCAAUUCCUAACCUUAAAGGAGAAAAUAGAGAGCGUAACCAUAUUAUAGCAAAUAAAAAAGGAAGUGGACGAGACAACAGGUUUUUGGCUAUGGAACUUGUUGAUCUUUGUAUUAUUCUAUUCCAUUCAAUAAGAAAAAUUUCGUUCAUAUAUUUAGAGUUUUAUUUUGUUUAAAAAAUAAAUCAGGGUUAAAAAAUUAAUUUCUUCUCUGGUUAGAUUUUUUUGAGAUCAUUUUGAGGAUUUUUGAGUUGGUUAAUGUGUUGUAAGCCAUUCUAGGAGUGUUUAUUGAAUGUUUAUAGGUUAAAAUGGGUUAAAAAUAUAUUUUAUAGAUAAAAAUAGCAUCCCUGGAUUUUUUUCUGAGUAGCGAACGAUGCGCUAACUUUCUUUCUUUUUUAACUUCGUCCACCCAUCUUGAAACUUUUGAAAACUAAAGCCAAGUGCUUGGGCAUGCAUCCUAUGAUAGGCCCACGAGUUGGGCCUUGUUGUUGCUGGGUUAUGUGUGUUGGGCCUUUCAGGCUAUUAUUAAUUUCUUUAAUUAAUUUAGAAUUCAUUUAGGCUAUUAUUUUUUUAGAAACACUGUUAAAAUUUUAGUUAGUUUUUGAAUAAGAUUAAUGUUGUCUUUUUUCUUUUACUGAAUGUUUUUUUUACAGCCUUUCAUAUUUGAUUUUAAGAAAACUACUCGAUGAGUUUUAUAUGAGUGUGUAUUUUUAUUAUUAUAUUGCUAAAUAAAAAACAGUUUCAAAAAAAUAAAAUAAUUGAACCAAGUCGGAUUCAUUAUUUUAAUAUUUUAAAAAAUUAAACUGAUUUUAUUUUUGAAAAAAAUUAAAUCUUUCUCGUUGCUUAAUAUUAAAGAAUCAAUUAACCUAAAAGUUUAAGCUGUAAGGUAAGGUUCUAAGAUAUGAUUUAUAUUAUUCUCUAAUACACGUCUUGAAGUAAAAGCUCUUUGGAUUUGAAACUUGCACAGACUUAUAAUACUUUGUAAUUGAUUUUUAUCAAAUAAAGAGGGAUUGUGAAAUUUGAUUUUGUGAUUACUUGGUCAUUAAAAUUCUGAUAUUAUAUCAAAAAACCAAUUAAACCUAAAAACUUAAGCUAUUAGGUAAAAUUCUAAGAUAUAAUUUAUAUCAUUCUCUAAUAUUUAAAAAUGUAUUAAUAGCACAUGUAUAUUUUUUCCGACCUACAUUCGAUUAUUGUUUUCCAUAAUUAAAAUUUCUCGUUGGUAUCUCUUACGAACCAAGUCUUUCCGCACUGGAUAAGCCUCUCAUCACAACAUUGCCUCAUGGACUAGAAGACAAAUUUCCUGACUUGAAAUCUAAGAGGGAGAUGAGACAAUUUAGAGUAGGAUGCAGCUAAAUUAACAAAUAUAUUUUCCUAUUAUAUUAAUUAUUAAUAUCGACUUGAAAAGGUUACAAUAAUUAUUUUUAAAGAUGAGAAGUAUUUUUACAAUGAGUUUAGCAAUAACCUUUUCAUAAUAAGAUUCAAUGGUUUUAUUAUUAUUAGUUUUAAUUGAGAUUAUUUAUGGAGCCGGCAUAGAAAAACUAUUUGUGUGGAUUUUGUUCAAUUCUGUCUGUGCAUAUAUCAUAUUUUGAAACCCGAUCCAGUUUAGCGAGUCGACUCGGGAUCUGAAUAGAGAAAAGAAAAACCCGGUAUAACCUGGUUGAUCCAAUAAGACCCGGUUAUAACUCGUUAAUUUUUUUUUUAUCAAAACAACAUCAUUUUGAUUUUAAAAAAAAUUAAUGUGGUGAUUUGAUAAUCCUAUCAAAAUUUAGAAUCCGAGCCUUGAUUUGAAAUUUUUUGUUGAAUUUUAUGCAUGAUAUAUGUUUAUCAAUCGAUAUCUCGAGCCACCAUGAUUGUCAAAUACAAGAUUUAAACCAAUAAGUUUAAAAGACACAUGACGAACAUGCAGCCAUCCAUGCUUUAAUUAAUCGAAUCUUAUACACUUUAAAGCACGAGUAAAACACCUUGUGGGACAGAACAAGUGGUCCAUGCAUGAGGCAUAGGUUGUACAUGUAAUUAUUUAUAUAGGACAAACUCAUCAAAGGAUUAAUUAUGUUUAGGAAUAUGGUUUUUUUAAAAAAAAAUUAAAUUAUUUUUUGACGUUUCCGGUUAAAAAUAUUAUUUAAUAUAUUUCUAAAUAAUUUAUUAUAAUUCUAAAUACCUCAGUAAUGAACAUCGCGACUACGGAAAUAUGAAACAAAUUGGAGACAUUCGAUGAAUAUGGAAGACAAAAUGAGAAAUACUGGACCACGUAAAUCACUUUUGUGGGACAAAACAAGGAGUCCAUGCAUGAGGCACAGGCUGUACAUGUAAUUAUUUACAUAGGAAAAACUCGUGGAAAGAUUAAUUAAUACUGUGUUUAAAAAUAUAAUUGAAAUUGUAUUUUUAAAAAAAUUUAAAUUAUUUUUUAUAUUGUUUUGAUGUGCUAAUAUUAAAAAUAUUUUUUUUUAAAUAUAAUAUUUUAAUAUGUUUUCAAAUAAAAAACUUUAAACCACAAUUAUUACUAUAAUUUUAAAUACCUUCAUAUUUAAAUGUUGUAAUUAUAAAAACAUAUAUAAAAUAAAUUGGAAACAUUCAAUGAAUAUAGAAGAAAAAACAAGAGAUUUAGUUUAAAAUAGUCCAAGAAAAAUUUUUAUUUUUUAUAUUUAUAUUUUUCAAACCAAAUAUAUUUCUUUUCACACUAUCUUUAUUAAUUUUUUCUUUUUUAAAAAAUAACUAAACACUAUUCUUUUCUUUUUUCCCUGUUAUAGUAACUAAACCAUGCCUUAAAAAGUAGAAAUUAGGGACUAGAUUUUUAUGGAAAAAUUUAUAAUCCAUCACUAUCAUCUAUGCGUUAAGUGGUCGGAUUUAUAUCUAUAUNNNNNNNNNNNNNNNNNNNNNNNNNNNNNNNNNNNNNNNNNNNNNNNNNNNNNNNNNNNNNNNNNNNNNNNNNNNNNNNNNNNNNNNNNNNNNNNNNNNNAUAACCACCACACCACAAUACUGCAGCAGUAGCUUCCCCAGGCUCUAUUACCGAUCCUAAUACUUUAGCUGAGCAAUUUCAGAAGUUUCUCUCCUUGCAGCCACAAGCAAUGUCCGCUUCUUCCAUAGGUCAGUUGCCUCAUAAUUCCUCAGGUAUGUCACACUCUGAAUGGGUCUUGGAUUCUGGUGCUUCACAUCAUAUGUCUCCAGAUUCCUCAUCUUUUACCUCAGUGUCCCCUUUGUCCUCCAUUCCUGUUAUGACUGCUGAUGGCACUCCUAUGCCCUUAGCAGGUGUUGGUUCUGUUGUCACACCUCACUUGUCUCUCCCUAAUGUUUAUCUUAUUCCAAAACUCAAAUUGAAUCUUGCGUCUGUUGGUCAAAUAUGUGAUUCUGGUGAUUAUUUAGUCAUGUUUUAUGGUUCUUUUUGUUGUGUACAGGAUCUGCAGUCUCAGAAGCUGAUUGGGACAGGCCGUAGGGAGAAUGGGCUAUAUAUUUUGGAUGAGUUAAAAGUGCCAGUUGCUGCUGCUGCCGCUGCUGCUACUACUGCUGAUUUGUCUUCCUUUCGUUUGAGUCUUUCAUCUUCUAGUUUUUAUUUAUGGCAUUCCCGUCUAGGUCAUGUUUCGUCUUCUCGUUUGAGAUUUUUGGCAUCCACAGGAGCUUUAGGAAAUUUGAAAACUUGUGACAUUUCUGAUUGUAGUGGAUGUAAACUGGCAAAAUUUUCUGCUUUACCUUUUAAUCGAAGUAUUUCUGUUUCAUCUUCACCAUUUGAUUUGAUUCAUUCUGAUGUAUGGGGACCUUCUCCUGUUUCCACAAAAGGAGGGUCUCGAUAUUAUGUCUCUUUUAUUGAUGAUCAUACUCGUUAUUGUUGGGUUUAUUUAAUGAAACAUCGUUCUGAAUUCUUUAAGAUAUAUGCAGCUUUUCGAGCUCUUAUCAAAACUCAACAUUCUGCUGUGAUCAAAUGCUUUAGGUGUGAUUUGGGUGGGGAAUACACCUCUAAUAAAUUUUGUCAAAUGCUUGCCUUAGAUGGAACCAUCCACCAAACUUCAUGUACAGAUACUCCUGAACAAAAUGGUGUAGCUGAAAGAAAACAUAGGCAUAUUGUCGAAACUGCUCGUUCUCUCUUGUUGUCUGCUUUUGUUCCUAGUGAAUUUUGGGGAGAAGCUGUUCUUACUGCUGUAAGUUUGAUUAAUACAAUUCCAUCUUCUCAUAGUUCGGGUCUAUCUCCUUUUGAAAAGCUAUAUGGGCAUGUCCCUGAUUAUUCCUCAUUUAGAGUCUUUGGUUGUACUUGUUUCGUUCUUCGUCCUCAUGUAGAACGCAAUAAGCUAUCCUCUCGAUCCGCUAUUUGUGUCUUUCUGGGUUAUGGUGAAGGUAAAAAGGGGUAUCGUUGUUUUGAUCCAAUAACUCAGAAACUUUAUGUGUCUCGUCAUGUUGUCUUCCUUGAGCAUAUACCUUUCUUUUCUAUUCCAUCCACUACUCAUAGCCUGACAAAAUCUGAUCUUAUUCAUAUAGAUCUUUUUUCUGAAGAUUCUGGUAAUGAUACCUCUCCCUAUGUUCGAUCAAUUUGUACUCAUAACUCUGCAGGUACUGGUACUUUACUCUCUGGCACACCUGAAGCUCCAUUCUCAUCUACAGCCCCUCAAGCUUCAUCUGAGAUUGUGGAUCCACCUCCACGUCAGUCCAUCCGCAUUCGUAAGUCCACAAAAUUACCAGAUUUUGCUUAUUCUUGUUAUUCUUCAUCAUUUACUUCCUUUUUAGCUUCUAUUCAUUGUCUCUUUGAGCCCUCUUCCUAUAAAGAGGCAAUUCUUGAUCCGCUUUGGCAGCAAGCUAUGGAUGAGGAACUUUCUGCUUUGCAUAAGACAGAUACUUGGGAUCUGGUUCCUCUACCUCCUGGUAAGAGUGUUAUUGGUUGUCGUUGGGUGUAUAAGAUCAAGACUAAUUCUGAUGGGUCUAUUGAGCGAUACAAAGCUAGGCUGGUUGCAAAAGGAUACUCUCAACAGUAUGGUAUGGACUAUGAGGAGACAUUUGCCCCGGUUGCCAAAAUGACUACUAUUCGUACUCUUAUUGUCGUAGCUUCGAUUCGUCAGUGGCAUAUUUCUCAGCUUGAUGUUAAAAAUGCAUUCUUGAAUGGAGAUCUUCAAGAAGAAGUUUAUAUGGCACCCCCUCCUGGUAUUUCACAUGACUCUGGAUAUGUUUGUAAGCUUAAGAAAGCAUUAUAUGGUCUCAAACAAGCACCUCGUGCUUGGUUUGAGAAAUUCUCUAUUGUGAUCUCGUCUCUUGGCUUUGUUUCUAGCAGUCAUGAUUCUGCUCUUUUUAUUAAGUGCACUGAUGCAGGUCGUAUCAUUCUGUCUUUAUAUGUUGAUGACAUGAUUAUUACUGGUGAUGAUAUUGAUGGUAUUUCAGUUUUGAAGACAGAGUUGGCUAGACGAUUUGAAAUGAAGGAUUUGGGUUAUCUUCGAUAUUUCCUGGGUAUUGAGGUAGCAUACUCACCUAGAGGUUACCUUCUUUCUCAGUCGAAAUAUGUUGCAGAUAUUCUUGAGCGGGCUAGACUUACUGAUAACAAGACUGUAGAUACUCCUAUUGAGGUCAACGCGAGGUACUCUUCUUCUGAUGGUUUACCUUUGAUAGAUCCUACUUUAUACCGUACUAUUGUUGGGAGUUUGGUAUAUCUCACCAUUACUCGUCCAGAUAUUGCAUAUGCUGUUCAUGUUGUUAGUCAGUUUGUUGCUUCUCCUACUACUGUUCACUGGGCAGCUGUUCUUCGUAUUUUGCGAUAUCUUCGGGGUACAGUUUUUCAGAGUCUGUUACUUUCAUCCACCUCUUCCUUGGAGUUGCGUGCAUACUCUGAUGCUGAUCAUGGUAGUGAUCCCACAGAUCGCAAGUCUGUUACCGGGUUCUGUAUCUUUUUAGGUGAUUCUCUUAUUUCUUGGAAGAGCAAGAAACAAUCUAUUGUUUCUCAAUCAUCCACCGAAGCAGAAUAUCGUGCCAUGGCAUCUACUACCAAAGAGAUUGUUUGGCUGCGUUGGUUACUUGCUGAUAUGGGAAUUUCCUUUUCUCAUCCUACUCCUAUGUAUUGUGACAAUCAGAGUUCUAUUCAGAUUGCUCAUAACUCGGUUUUUCAUGAGCGCACUAAGCACAUUGAGAUCGAUUGUCAUCUUACUCGUCAUCAUCUCAAACAUGGCACCAUUGCUUUGCCUUUUGUUCCUUCUUCCUUGCAGAUUGCAGAUUUCUUUACCAAGGCGCAUUCCAUCUCUCGUUUUCGUUUUCUGGUUGGCAAACUCUCGAUGCUUGUAGCUGCCGCAUCGUGAGUUUGAGGGGAGAUGUUCACUAAUAUUUAUGUAGUCUUAUUUAUUAAGGGUAGAAUAGUACUUUCAGUUUGACCUAUAUAUACUUUAUUUGUAUUUAGGUUAACACUAUGCAUUCAUAAUAAACAGAUUAUUCAGAAUUGUAGCCUCCUUUUUGUAGUUGAUCUCAAUUACUUUAACACGGAUAACUGAAACAUAACCUGCCAAGACAGAAAACCACCAGAACUUGACAGAACCAGUUGCUACCCAAAUCCAAUGAUAAAACGAUUCAAAUCCGACAGUAAAAAUACAUUUCAUUUCAAAACAAAUCGAUUUUUGACCUCCAAAACAAGUUUAGUGAAUAUCUUUUUAAAUCUGCAUAUAAAAUCAAUAAUCCACGGCACCACAAACGAGCACAUAUUCACUUGAUCAAUCACAAUCAUACAAAAAAUAAGAUUAAUAUUGUUGUCUUUUUUAUUUUACUGAAUGUUUUUUUACAGCCUUUCAUAUUUGAUUUUAAAAAAACAACUCGAUGAGUUUUCUUUGAGUGCCUAUUUUUAUUAUUAUAUUGCUAAAUGAAAGAUAGUUUCAAAAAAAUAAAAUGAUUGAACCAAGUCGGAUUCAUUUAAUAUGUUAUUGGUUUUAAUAUUUUAAAAAAUUAAACUGAGUUUAUUUUUGAAAAAAAUCAAAUAUUUUUCGUUGCUUAAUGUUAAAGAACCAAUUAACCUAAAAGUUUAAGUUGUUAGGUAAGGUUGCAAGAUAUGAUUUAUAUUAUUUUCUAAUACACCCUUUGAAGUAAAAAGUUCUUUUAACUUGAAACUUGCACAAAUUUAUAAUACAUUGCAAUUGAUUUUUAUCAAAUAAAAGGGACAGUGAGAUUUGAAUUCGUGAUUACUUUGUCAUUAAAGCUCUGAUAUCAUGUUAAAGAAUUAAUUAAAUCUAAAAAACUAUUAGGUAAGAACUCAAAAUAUAAUUUAUAUUAUUUUUUAAUAUUUAAAAAUAUAUUAAUAGAACAUGUAUGUUUUUUUCCGACCUACAUUCCAUUAUUGUUUCCAUAAUUGAAAUUUCUCGUUGGUAUCUUUUACUAACCAAGUCUUUCCGCACUGGAUAGGCUUCUCAUCACACCAUUGCCACAUGGACUAGAAGACAAAUUUCCUGACUUGAAAUCGAAGAGGGAGAUGAGACAAUUUAGAAUAACACUAGUUAUAUAUGCUCCGCGUGAUGCCGUGAAUUAAUUAUUUUUUGCAUUUUAAAAAUAACCAAAAUAUAGAAUAUAGAAUUCAGAUCUUAAACCAAACCGACUACAUGAUCAGGUCUGAAAAGUAUGCAUGAUAGAUGUUUAUCAAUCGAUCUCUCGAGCCGCCAUGAUUGUCAAAUACAAGAUUUAAACCAAUAAUAAUAAUAAAUAAAUAAAAGACACAUGACGAACAUGGAGCCAUCCAUGCUUUAAUUAAUCGAAUCUUAUACACUAUAGGACAAAACAGGUGGUCCAUGCAUGAGGCAUAGCGCAAUAAUUUAUAGUUUUGUCAAACAGGGUGUACAUGUAAUUAUUUAUAUAUGACAAACGCAUUGAAAGAUUAAUUCACAUCAUGUUUAGAAAUAUAGUUAGAAUUGUUUUUUUUAAUUUAAAAUUGUUUUCAAUUUAAAAUUAUUUUUAUAUUUUUAUAUUGUUUUGAUAUGUUGAUAUUAAAAAUAAUUUUUUUAAAAUAAAAAAUAUUAUUUUAAUAUAUUUUUAAAUAAAAAAAAACUUCAAAAAAUUAUAGCAAUGAACAUUGCAACUAUGGAAAUAUGAAACAAGUUGGAGACGUUCAAUGAAUAUGAAAGACAAAACGAGAAAUCCAGGACCACGCAAAUUUCUAAGAACAAAAAUUAGCAUGGCCUACAACUAGUCAAACCUAUAUUUUGUGGGAACCCCGAAAAAAUAUACAUGUUUUCAAAUAUUAAUUCAUUUUAAGAACAAAAAAUAUAAUUUGUGCAAAAAAUCAUUCUUAUUUAUCCCAAAAACAUAUGCUUUAUAUCACACAAAUAUAUAUUCUUCAAUUGCAAUGAAUCUUUUUACAUUUACUUAUCAAUUAAAUUGAAUAAAAUCAUUAAAACUACAAGAAUAAAAUGAAAAAUAAAUCAUUAUUUGUGAGUAAUCAAAACCUUAUUGAAAUUAUAAAUGGAUUGAAAUAAAAAGAUUAUGUAUGUGAUGCACACUUCUCUGUAGCGUUUGACUACUAUCUCGAGAUAAAGAUGCCAAAUAACUAUCUCAACUCAAUAGAUUAAGUUAUUAGAUAAGAUUCUAAGAUAUAAUUUAUAUUAUUUUUUAACAUACCCCUCAAGUGAAAGCCAUUUGAACUUAAAAUUUGGACAGACUCACACUAUCCUGCACUUAUUUUUUAUCAACUAAAUAGGGAUAGUGAGAUUCGAACUUGUAACUGUUUGGUCAUCAAGACUCUGAUAUCAUAUAAAAAAAUCAAUUCAACCUAAUAACUUAAGUUGUUAGGUGAGGUCUCAUGAUAUGAUUUAUAUUAUUUUCUAACAUAUUCACUCGAAUAAAAGUUUUUUGGGUUUAUUCUAUUAGUUGGGAUAAGAGGAACAUGUUCUUUAUAUACUUUUUAUUUUGAAAUUACAUAAAUUUAGUUUAAAACAGUCUUAAAGAAAAUUUUAUUUUUAUAUUUUUAUUUUUAUUUCUCUAACCAAACAUGCUUCACUCCACAUUAUCUUUAUUAAUUUCUUCUUUCUCGAAAAAGUAACUAAACACUAUUCUUCUUCUUCUUUUUUUACUGUAAUAGUAACUAAACCAUGCCUUAAAAAACUAGAAAUUAGGGACUAGAUUUUUUAUGGAAAAAAUUAUAAAUCCCAUCACUAAUCAUCUAUACGUUUAAGUGGUCGGAUUUUAUAAUCUAAUAUAAGCACGAGAAAAACAAUUUUGUGGGAUAAAUCAAGUAAGCAAGUGGUCCAAGAGGCGAGAGCUCCAAAGCCCAAACCUACCCGACAAGUCUCUGUCAGAGGACAAUAAUUUGUAGUUUCGUCGAGCAAGUGGCACUCGUUUAAUUAAUUGUAACUAAUAAUCCAAAUCCUUUCUCCCUAUAAAUUCAUGGUCUCUGUUCAAUCUUUGAACACAUCAACAACAAGACUCAAUAUUGGGAUAUAACUAUUACUUAUCAGAUUCAACAAUGAAGAUUACUAACUUUCUAGUGCUCUCCUUUCUUCUCUUUGCCUUCACGGCAACUUCAAUAUUUCCUCGUGCCGUUCAUGCUGAAGCAGUGAUCGAUGCCUUCGGUGAUGAGGUUAGAACUGGUGAUCGUUAUAUCAUCGGAGCCGCUUCGAAUGACUUUGCGGUCACUUCCAGCCGUAUCAUAUGCAAUUCAGAUGUUAUGUUUUCUCCAAUGAGCCAUGGACUCCCAGUAAUAUUUUCACCAGUUGUAGAAUCCAACGACAGUGUCAUCCAUGAAGACAGUAAUCUGAAUGUGGACUUUGAUGCAGCCACAUGUAGAAUGGCGGGCGUAUCAACCAUGUGGAAGAUUGAAAUGAGGCCAACAGCGCGAGGAUUCGUUGUGACCACAGGAGGUGUUGCUGGAUUGAAUCGGUUCAAGAUCACCAAGUAUGAAGGUGGUAAUAAUUUGUAUCAGCUUUCUUACUGUCCAAUUUCGGAACCCAUAUGUAAAUGCUCAUGCGUC
rnacentral:lncRNA from 1 species